rnacentral:lncRNA from 1 species
GCUCGAGCUGUGGUGCGUGCCGCUAAGUUGUGCGUUCCAGGGUGCACUCGCCGGCGAGGCUGCACGGCGCCGGUUUCAUUGCUAAAAUCCGACGGACUUGUUGCAGAACUCGUUUUUUUUGUCGGGAAAGGGCUUCCCCGUGUAACUUUACAGCAGUUAUCGUAGAUAAGACUUGCAAAUUACAGAUGUGGACGGUGAGGGAACGGGAAUUUCACUGAAAGCGCCUGAGAACCAGUAAGAGACCUGCAACAGCUUUGUGCUCCACUGGCGAAUGCUUCCUCCCCUAAUACACAUUAUGUGUGCUUGGAGACACAAGGAGUAAGAUACAGCCCCUCAAGGGACUCGUCAUAGGGAGAGGACACAGCUUUGGGAAUAAAGGGGCCACAAAGGAGGAGAGAGGAGUUUGCUGAAACUUCCCAAGCUCCCAUUCCAGCAGUUCCUGAAGGUGGGAAGAAACUAACCCUCAUUGAGUGCCUAGUUAACAUCAGGCACUUUGUACACAUAAUCAAUUGAAUCUUGACCACAACCCUGUGAGGUGAAAAAUGAGAAGAUUAAAUAAGCCAUGGGAAGAUUUUUUAAAAUGACAUGAAACUCCAAGGGUAAAAAGUAGGCUGGGAAAUCUUAGGAUGGUGAACCAUCAUGUUUCCUGAAUGUGAAUCCUGUACCUGGUUUGACUGUAGUCACCCCUUCUCCAACACUCUCCACGAUGCCGGCUGCCUCAUGGCCUAAAAUCACAGGAAGUGGGGUCACCAUGGUACCACUAACCACGUGGUCAUCUGUGCCACAGAUUCCUACAGCCACCAUCUACAGAGUGAAGAGAAGAUGUUUAUAAAAGAUUGUGAGUCUCAGGAUGUUCAACAUGAUCAAUGCCAAAUAAAUAUCAGAAUACUUGGAAGUAAAGUACUAAUAGUAGGAGUUCCUGAUUAUCAGGUGCCUAUGAUGUGACAGGCACAUUGUGGCCUGUGCUCGACCAGGAGACUGGUGAGUCCUUGUGGAUUUCUUCCCUGCUCAAGUGCAUAAAGCAGGUGUAUUGCAUAGCUUUUCCAGGCUGAGAUCAAAGACGGAGAUGUGCCUACCCGCAGAUCCUAGAUGGCCAUGUUUGCAACAGAGGUAAUGAUGAGCAGUGCGAAGAUGUGACUCCAAAGCCUGGAGAAGGACAGACCAGCAUCCCUGCAAGAGAUCCAACUGUCUUCUUUUCCGCAGAGGUCCAUAAUUUACAUGGGCCUGACAAAGAAUACUGUAACUUGCAGAAAUUAUCUUCAGUUCAAAUCCUUCAUUUUGGGGGUUAAAUAACUUGCCCAAGAUGUCGAGGGAGCGGAAAUACUUGCUGGUCUUGCAGCGGCUGUGGAGCCUGGAAUCCUGCCAAGAAGAGCAUGUGUGAGAGAUCAAAAUGUUUGCUUACAUUCCUCCUGUGAAGGGAGUUGGGAAAUAACCUAAGAAGCCCAAUCCAAAAACAAAGAUGUACCAUCCAGUCUUCUCUGUGAGAACCAAACUACAAACCAUCUGAAUGUUCCAAAAGUGUUUUGAUGAUGUAUUGAUGUAUUUUAAAUUAUCCUGAAAAUGUUCUUGGCAGAUGCUUAAACAUGUAAUUACUGAGAUGAUGUAGAAAUACCAAGUGUUUAUUAAAACAAUACAGAGUAAUACAAA